rnacentral:rRNA from 1 species
ACUUGAUCUCAAAUCAGAUAAGAGUACCCGCUGAACUUAAGCAUAUCAAUAAGCGGAGGAAAAGAAACUAACAAGGAUUCCCUUAGUAACGGCGAGUGAAGCGGGAAGAGCUCAAAUUUGAAAUCUUCAAGGUUCUACCUUGACGAAUUGUAGUUUAUAGAAGUGUUUUCUGUUAGUGGAGUGGCAAAAGUUCUUUGGAAUAGGACAUCAUAGAGGGUGAGAAUCCCGUAUUUGGUCAUUCCUCCUAGCGUUGUGAUACACUUUCAACGAGUCGGAUUGUUUGGGAAUGCAGUCCAAAAUGGGUGGUAAAUUUCAUCUAAAGCUAAAUAUUGGCGAGAGACCGAUAGCGAACAAGUACCGUGAGGGAAAGAUGAAAAGAACUUUGAAAAGAGAGUUAAACAGUACGUGAAAUUGUCAAAAGGGAAGCGUUUGACACCAGUGUUGUUUUUCCGAAAAUCAAUUACGAAUGUUUUUGUUUUUAAGGAGUUAUGACUUCAUCGGCUUGCUUCUUUCUUUACGAAACUUUCUUAAUGCACUUUUCGGUUAACAAGUCAACAUCAAUUUCUUUUGUUGUAAAAGGGUAUGAGGAAGGUGGCUUUCUUUUCGGAGAAAGUAUUUAUAGCCUUGUGCCUCUGCAAUCGGAGAGAUUGAGGUCUGCAGCGUAGAUCCUUCGGGGUUAGAUACAUUUGUGCUAAGUUAUAGCUUUUCAUAGACAACUUGUUGACUAUGUUUAGUCUUGUAGCUUACUCGCUUAUGUCAUUUUACCUACGCUUAGGAUGUUGACAAAAUGGUUUUAAACGACCCGUCUUGAAACACGGACC